GUAACACUGUGCGGUGCAGUCAUCCAUGAAUGUUUUACCUCCAAGAACACUUACUUGUCAGAGUUUCCAAGAAGUUGUGGAAGGACACUGAUCGUCAGCUCAGUCUGUGAUCGCCGCAUGUUUCAAGGUCCAUUGGACACCUACUCACCCUGCAUCCACCUGUGAGGCCGAAUGCAUUGGGUACUUGUGGCCAUGUCUACAAGUUGAAGUUUAUGAGACUCCGUCGUGGGAGGACCCAUCAGAGUGUGAUCUGGACUGAAUGUGAAGAGGAGGGAAAGGAACUGCCAUGCUGUUGGGGAGUCUGGGCAGGCAGGUGGCUUCCCAGCAGCACUCCAGAAGCAGUGAGGCUGAUCAGAAGUGGCAGCUGGGAGAAGACUGUUAGGUUAGAGCUCUUAAAACUUGGGUUCUCACCUUCAUGGAUACAGGCACAGAAGUGGAGGCUGUGGAGCAAUUUGGAAGAAUGGACAUUGGCCAAGACCUUACCUCUGUUACCAAGAUCUCACUCUCUAUGGCUGCCAAUUCUUCAGCCAAAAAGCAAUUAUUGAAGAGAAGAAGAAUCACGGUUUUCUUCUGUGUGCCACAGUAGAAACCACACACCACCUGCACGUGGGAGGAAGAGAAUCAUCGCAGUUGGUACAGAGGCAGCCCCGUGGAGAACAGAAGAUCCUUCACAUGCAAUCAAGACAGAAAGGAGCCACACAUGCAGAUGCCUUUGCUGACACCCCUUUUGCCUUCCUAGGGAACCUGUCUUCAACAUGACUUCAGGGGAGCUGAGUGUCAGCUAAUUGCAUCUGUAGACAGAGGCAGAAGAUGCUUUUUGGCUUGGGUUCAUCUGAUUUGCAUACUCCAGGUGUCCCUGUCAUAGGUAUGCUGUUUAUAACACUGCCUUCUUGAAUUUUCUGGAGUUGAGAACAACAUGGGGUAGAGAAUAUGCACCUUCCCAGGGCUGCAUCUGAGACAUAGUGACAUAAAGUCUCUAGGGACAGAGCAAGCGGGUUGGGUCUGCUCAUUUCACAAGCUUCCUGGUUCCUGGACUUUGGCAGAGGUGAGAAACAAAGAUUUCACUAGACUCCUGCAGAUUGGUAUCAGCAAUCACAUAUUGAAAGAAAGUCCAUUUGUUUCUAAAAGUGACAGGUAAAAUUCUUUGACUCUCUGACUUGAAAGCCCCUAAUCUACUCACACUUUUAUACAACCCUCUACAAUAUAUCUUCAUGACUUUUCUUUUUCAUCAAUAUGGCAAGAAGGUUAUAGAUGUCAACCAAGAAACAGCUCUUACCUCAAAUGUGAUUUAUUCUGGAACAAAAUAUGAGUGAGCAUAGCCCACAUGUUCAGGCUAUCCCAAGCACCAUGUUCUGAUGAGGUAGCAAUUUCAUGAAGUUAUUAUAGGAACAGAACAAAGCAGGUCAUAAGUCAAUGUGCUUUACAAAUCCAUGUCCAGGGGGAAAGCCAGGCAGGCUUCAGUGUAUCAGGGAAAUCUCAGAUACUAAUGAUCUCAGCCUUUGGUUAGUGGGAACUACAGGUCUGAUUGAACAUUCCAAAGGAUUUAUAUAAUUUUCAAGAUGUUAGGUCACAUAGAAAGGAGGGUAAUAAAUGGUUAUUAAGAGCCAAAACAUGGCCCAAGAUAAUGUGAAUUUGGGCUGAAGACAUUCCAAUAUCUGCAUCAUUGAGGUCCUAAUCUAUCAAUGAGCCUUUCUAGUCAAAGCUUCUGUUGGUCUUAUGGAUAUCUGAAAUCCAGAGAGGGAAAAAAACACUUCUUUAAGCCAAUGUCCCCAGGGCAUCAGAAUACCUAUAAGCAACUGGCCUCCUGCAGCCUGAUUUCUUCUGUUUCUUCACUAACUUGCAAGCCCUUCUCUCAGUUGGAGCAUUGUAGACACAAAGAUGAUGUGUUUUGGACAAAGAAGGGGGUAUGGACUCUACCUGGGCUGGGUGCUCAAUGACUGUGACUGCCAUGUAUAGUUGGAAGGGUUUCAGUAAAAGUGGAGACAGAUGAAUAGUGUGACUAUAUUGAAACUGUAAGGGCGAGACAUGAUGUCUUCAACUGACAGCUUUUCCAGUUGAAAGGGUUAGUGAAAGCCCACUGGUACACACAGGCUCUGAUUAGCGUGCUGUGGAGGGUCUCUGCAGUCAAGCAUUGGGUCAACUUUUGUUUUCCACUGAAGGAUGAUGGACAGCAAAACAAUGAGAACAUGCGGUGGGGAGUCCAGUGAGAUGCUUUGUGGCUUCAGGUAAAAAAGAAUCUGUGUACCACACAGAGGAGUUAAGAGAGGUUGAGCCCUUGCAUGGUUCAGUUUUCCUCAGAGGAAACAAAACAAAAUGAGGCAAAAGAUAUAUUUGUUUUCUACUAAGUACUUUUCCGAAUUGGGUAACCAACUCUCUCCAAAUUCACCAGCACUUGGAGACCACCAGGCACACAUCCUUCCUGAUGUCUCUACAUAGAGCAACGGGCUGUUCUUCCAUUAGUCCCACUGUCUGCCAUGAGUCACACAUGUGAACAGUCAGUCCAACUUAAUAAGUGUACUCACUCAGAAAACAACUUCAGCUGCUAUCCUGUCAGUUUCUGGUGGAAAGGUGUGGAGAGGGAAUGAAAGGUGACAGCUAUGUAAAGGUUGAGAGUGGGAAAUAAGAAAAAUGAGUAAAGCACAAACAAGAUCUGCUUAUUGAACAGGGACUGUCUUGAAGGAGAGAUUUGGGGCUGGUUGGGGUGGGGAAGACAGAGGAAGGAGAGCAGUUUUGAGCUCCUGCAAGAUGAGCUACCACCUUCUACCAUCCUUGUAAAAGACUUAUUUUCUUGUGGCAGAAGGACUUCUCACUUAAGCUUCCCACCCACCUUCAGAGAGACAGUGGAAAGUGGUUUGCUCUGUGAAGGCUCUGCAUCUGCCACAGUGCUGCGGUGUGGAGUUGGUUUCAGACAUUCAGGUGACUGUGAAUGUCCACUUCUAUGUAGCUGUUUACUUUGUUACAAUGGAGUCUAUUUGCCUUAAACAAUGGAUCCUUCUUGCUUUCCUAUAGCCGCUUCCAUUACUCUGAAUUAGUUUCUUAUUGUUUAUAAUGUCUCCCUGUCUUUGCCACUGUUCUGUUCCCGUGAAGAGAUACCAUGACCACAACAACUCUUAUAAAAGAAAGCAUUUAAGUAGGACUUAUUUACAGUUUCAGAGGUUUAGUCCAUUAUCAUGGCAGAGAGCACAGCAACACACAGGCGACAUACAUGUGUUUGAAAAGUAGCUGACAGUUCUACACCUGGGUUCACUGGCUGCAGUAAGAGAGAGACUCUGGGCUUGAAAUGUGCUUUUUAAACAUCAAAGACUAUCCCCGUCCCAUGACAUACUUCUUCCAACAAGGCCAUACCUCCUAAUCCUUUCAAAUAGUGCCACUCUCUAAGAAUUCAAAUCUAAGAAAGAGCCUACAGGGUCAUUCUGAUUCAAACCACCACACUAAUACAAGGUAAAUGCCGUCCAAAUUGAGUAUCAGGUGAAAUGAUGGCAAGAAAAGAAUCUUUGUGUUCAGUUCAGGUGUAAAAAGAGAAUCAAUGAAUCAAUGAAGAAUUCUGUUACUGAAAACAGGAGACCUGGAAGAAAAAUAGCUCUUAAAAAAAGUAACUUUACUGACAGAUAGGCUUAGUGGUGGUUAAGAGCACUGGCUGUUCUUCCAAAGGACCAGGUUCUAUACCCAGCACCUAAUGUAGGCUCACAGCUGUCUGGAACUCUAGUCUUAGGGAUGUGACACCUUCUUUUAGCUUCCAGGGUCAUGAGGCACACAUGUGCAUAGACAUAUAUGCAGACAAAAUGUCCCUACACAC
ensembl:lincRNA